CACAAAUGCUAAACGUAAGAAAAUAAUUAAACAACUGGAAGUUGACUUCUAGCUUUGUUAGACGUAUACGGCGUAUAAAUCGUUUGAAUAUGUUGGAAAAUUGUAAAAGAAAAAUGAAAGGGAUUUAUUUAAUAACAACUUAAAGAAUUUCGGAAGGCGAAAAAAUAUGACUCAAGUCCUGAUGCCUUAGCAGGUCUAAACUUAUUGAGAUGGCAUUGUUAUUAAAAUGGCAGCUCUAAAAUUAUUACUUGAAAUAAAAGUCAGAUUAAUUUUUUAUUCAUACACAACUUCAAAUGUUGUGUACACGAUGAAACUACUACUUUCUUAUGUUCUACCAUCCUGAAUAAAAAUCUACAAAGUACUUAUUGACCAACAUCUUUCCGUACCGAAAUACUUAGUUGGUGGUGGUAGGAUUUGAACUCGUAUCGUUCAACAGUCCGGGUUUUAACUUUUUGUUUGAUGCUCUAACUCUUAUCACGGUUACCGUGAUAAAUACCACAGGAAUGUUUAAUUAAUUACAAUAUUAUCGUAGAGGGAAGUAAUAAAGGGCUUGGUAAUACGGUAACAGGUGUUAAAAAUGUAAUAAAGGGCUUGGUAAUAGCGGUAACAGGUGUUAAAAAUGAUAGUUUUGAAGUACAAAAUAUAACCACAGGUGUAAGAUUAUUUCUGCAUGGCUUGAAAUAUUAUUUUAUUACUGCAUCAUUUGAAUAAAGGAUAGAUAUUUGUAAGAAUAUAAUAGAACUAUUGACAGUUUUAAUUUAUGAAUUAACAAAAAAAUUUUAAAAUACAAGAUUUUUAUAAAUGAGUUAUAAUUCUGAUGUGAUUUUUUAAUUAAUUUUUUAAUGUUAAAAUUAAUAUUUUUUCAAAAAGCAUACAUUAAAACACCAAGUGUUCGCCAUGCAAUCUAGCAUUCACCACUUACUCACUAAAAAACAUUCAGAGCAAAAACUAAUUGCUGGAUUAAAACUCCAAGAAACUCUGAAGUUUUCUUACAAAAUCUGUGACGAUAUCUGACGAUUGUAGCUUUAAAAAAAGAGGCGCAGGAUUUAUUGAAAAAUAAACUCUGCCUAAAAAUCCUUAAAAACGUAAUGACAUAUUUUAAAAUAAACCUUUGAAUAAUCAUACAAAAACAUAUUAUUUAUAAUCUAAUUGGAUUUUUUCUUUCUCAGGCGAAUACUAGAAUGCAGCAAUACCUUACAAACAUAAAAUUAGUGGAUGAAUUUGAAAAGGUGGGCGUGGAAUGGUGGUGGCGAACACUGGAAGCAAAAAAACCCCAUGCUAAUAAUCGUCACCAAAAUAAAUUCAAAACAAUUUAAUUUAUCGUUAAAUAUAAAUAUAUAUAUAUAUAUAUAUAUAUAUAUAUAUAUAUAUAUAUAUAUAUAUAUAUAUAUAUAUAUAUAUAUAUAUAUAUAUAUAUAUAUAUAUAUAUAUAUAUAUAUAUAUAUAUAUAUAUAUAUAUAUAGUAUUUUAUUGUUUUAUUUUUAUUCAAUUUUUUAGUGAUCUCAGAACCAAACUGGAGGCUGCAAAUUAUCUUGGUAUACCAAGAACCAUCUAAGUGAUAAGGCUCCUAUUGCCAAAAAGAUGGGGCCAGCAACUUUUUGACUAUAUUUUACUCUCAUCUAUUAAAAGACUGUCCAGUUUUUUAAUAGAUGAGAGGCUAGUAAAUAGAGACAAGCGAUAUGAGUUUGGCAGAUCCUGUACCAUCACGUGUUCCCCUCAGCCUCAGCUAAAAAAGUUGCAGGACCCAUCCUUUUGGCGAUAGGAGCCUUUCCACUGAGUUUUUUGCUUUAAAUGGUUCAUGGUACUUUAAAACCUGGCGAUCGGUGGUUAGUAAAUAUAAUAAUUACAAUAUUUAUACAAUAUAUAACAAGUUACUAUACUAGUAUUUGUUUAUAUAGUAUUUUACGUUUAGCCUAUAGUGACAGGUUCAAUAAUAUUAGCUAGAGUACCUUAAUUGAUACAAUAAUUAAAUAAAUUAUUACCUUAAAGAGUGAAUAAAUACAAAUUAAUAGUUAUAUAGGUCUAAAAUAUAGUUUGUAUUAAUUAAUUUUAAAAGUAAGCUAGAUUACUAACUUUAUUAUUUGUUUUUAUAUUUGUAGCUAACUGUCGGAAAAUGGUUGCCUAGACAUUCUAUAUGAGCCUAACUGGUUGCCUAGACAUUCUAUAUGAGCCUAACUAAUUCUUUGCAGCUCAAAAAGCUUAAAAAAUGUUUUUUACAGCAUCUUCUAAAAAGACAAGGAUAGAAUUGCUGCUUUAGCUAAAGCUCGCACUGUUGCGUAAGAGCUCUAUUUUGACGUCAGAUCUAGUUGUAUCGAUUCUGGCGGAAAUAAAAGAAAAAAAGAAACACCAAGAGCGAUCAAAAGUGGAAAGAAUGAACAAAAGCUUGGCAACUGAGAUGACGAAGAGGUCAAAGCCCCCAGUCAAAGAAAAAAGUAGUGUAUGCUAAGCCUAAUUCAAAAUGUAAUUAAAUCUAUUAAUGUCA